rnacentral:rRNA from 1 species
UACGGAGGGUGCGAGCGUUGUCCGGAAUCACUGGGCGUAAAGGGCGCGUAGGCGGCAUGCCAAGCGUGUGGUGAAAGCCCGGGGCUCAACCCCGGGUCGGCCGUGCGGACUGGCGUGCUCGAGCACUGUAGGGGCGGGUGGAAUUCCGGGUGUAGCGGUGGAAUGCGUAGAGAUCCGGAAGAACACCGGUGGCGAAGGCGGCCUGCUGGGCAGUUUGCUGACACUGAGGCGCGACAGCGUGGGGAGCAAACAGGG